GACGAACGCUGGCGGCGUGCUUAACACAUGCAAGUCGAACGGAAAGGCCCUGCUUUUGUGGGGUGCUCGAGUGGCGAACGGGUGAGUAACACGUGAGUAACCUGCCCUUGACUUUGGGAUAACUUCAGGAAACUGGGGCUAAUACCGGAUAGGAGCUCCUGCUGCAUGGUGGGGGUUGGAAAGUUUCGGCGGUUGGGGAUGGACUCGCGGCUUAUCAGCUUGUUGGUGGGGUAGUGGCUUACCAAGGCUUUGACGGGUAGCCGGCCUGAGAGGGUGACCGGCCACAUUGGGACGGAGAGACGGCCCAGACUCCUACGGGAGGCAGCAGUGGGGAAUAUUGCACAAUGGGCGGAAGCCUGAUGCAGCAACGCCGCGUGCGGGAUGACGGCCUUCGGGUGGUAAACCGCUUUCGCCUGUGACGAAGCGUGAGUGACGGUAAAGGAUAAAGAAGCACCGGCUAACUACGUG
rnacentral:rRNA from 1 species